rnacentral:lncRNA from 1 species
CCGGGGCUCUACCUUCUUAAUGGAGCUCAGAUAGCACUCUCGCGAACCUCUCUGGUCGCCUCUCACCGUUGCCACCCCAUUUUCUGUUGGGAAUUUCAUGCAUAGGUGGUGGAUGGAGGUGACUGCUCCCAAUUCCUUUAGGGUCGGUCUGCCCAAGACUCCGUGGUAAGCCGAACGGCUGUCAACUACGAGGAAUUCCAUGAAGUUCAUCGUAGUUUGAGGAAAUUCUCCCAUCUCCACUGCCAGUGUUAUCUUUUCUCUAGGAGUGAUGCUAUCUCCGGUAAAUCCGUACAAUGGAGUGGUGGUGGGCGUCAACUGAUGGUCCAAUAUCAUCUUGUCAAAGGCGGACCCGAAUAGGAUGUUGACGGAGCUGCCGUUGUCGACUAGCAUUCGUUUGAGCCCAUUUCGGGCUAUGACAGCCCUAACCACCAGCGCAUCGCAGUGGGGAUAAUGAACUCUUUCGGCGUCUUCCUGGGUGAAGACAAUGGGUGGUACUUGGUUUCUUCUAGAGCUACUCUCCACAAUGUAACUCGUCAGAGGGGGGUGCUUUGCCUCCCUAGCAUAAUUUCUUUUGGCGUUUCGUGUUUCACCGCCAACAUAAGGGCCUCCAAAUAUGGUAUCUAUCUCGUGGAUAGGGGUCUCAUCUUGAGCUUGCCUAUUUCUUCGGUGUCUACGCCCUUCCCUGAGCCUCUCUGUGUCUUGCUCUCUUCGCUUUGGGGAUACAUCCCUUUGACGAGGAGCGGCCGUCUCACGCCCAUGUCGGUUAUCGUGCUUGGGCGGGGGCCUGUUUGCCUGGGGCGAACUGUGUCUUUCUCUGGCGGGUUCCUGCCGGGAGCGGUGUGCAUAGUCUCUGCAAUCGGCGGUGUCGUGCCCGUAGGACCUGUGGUGCAAACAGUAUCUAGGGAGGUUCGGAUUGGACCUAUUUCUAGGUGCAAAACCUCGGCCUCGGCCUCUCCCUCUGCGGGGUCCCUGCUGGGCCUCGGUCGGGUGUGCAUCAGCAGUUGGGUUGACAUCCUCAUAUGCUAAGGUUGGAACCGCGUUCAAAGUUGUGGUGGUCAGGGCUUGGCCGGAGUUCUCAUUUCCGGCUCGGUUUAUCUGGUAGUCCAUGAGGUGGGAGGUCGGUCCCCUACCUCGCUGUCUUUGAGGAGGUGGGAGGCCUCUGCUUGCCCUGUUUCUAUGCUCAAUCAAUUCUUUAUUGAUUAUCUCCCUUCUCAUCAUCUCUAGUAGGGCGUCAUAGGUGGUUGGGUCUUGAUUCUGCACAUCUCUCCAGAAUAGGGUGUUCAUGUUUAAGCCUCCUCUUAAUGCAGAUAGUGCUUCCCUGUCGGUGACUUAUACACAGUAGGUCAUCUCGUCGGUGAAGCGGGAUAGGAAGCUCAUAUCUUGAAGGCGCUGGAUGGGGGCCUCUCCUUCCUUGCUUACUGCGAACCUCUUCAAGAAGAUAGUUUUGAACUUGGGCCAGCUUCGGAUACUCCCAGAUGGUAGCCUAUUAUACCAGAUUUCAGCCGCUCCACUGAGGGUUAAAUGGAAUGCUCUGCACUUUACGGCUGGGGUGGCGCCCCUCAGGCUCAUGUGAGUUUUGUAAGCGUUGAGGUGCUUUUCUGGGUCACCUCUCCCAUCAUACUUUGGUAUUUUUGGCAUAACAUAGUGGCUCGGGACCUGGGCAUUUCUUAGUUCUCUUGAGAAUGGCAGGUUCUCAUCAUCAUCAUCCAAGUCAGAAGACCUCUGCUGCUCAUCAGAAUUGUAGUCUUCGGCCUCGUACCUCGGUUGUUAGUGAGAGGGUCCGGGCCGGUUCCUAGCCUCUUCCUCCCUCCUUUGCGGCCUACUUCUAGGCGGGACAGCGCGGGGGGCAUUUUUAUGCCUUCUCUCAGGCUGCUGGGGCAUCGGAGGUGGAGGCUGUGGCCUCGUCCGAGGCUGCUGAGCCUGCUGCUGACUGGGCCUCGGUUCUGCAGGGCUGAUUCUGUCAAAAACACUUCCUGCUCUCCUUUGUCUUGGGUCUUGUUCAUAUGGUGGUGGGAAGUUAUCAUGGCUCAUUUGGACCUCGGUGGGUCGACCAGAUGCAUAGUUGGAGGAUAUGUCGACUCCCACUUCCCUCUCGAAUGGGCUUUCACCUCGGCAAUAGCCUGGCGAGGCAACCCUAUGACUCUGGACCUCGUCCUCUUGCUGAUAGUGCCCAUGGAGAGCAUAUGAAGGAAUGGGGAAGCCCCCCUGGCCUUGCAUUUGGCUCAUGGCCAAGUUUUGGUUGGCUAUAUCCCUCAUGUUGGCUGCCAUGGUAGCCAUUUCUCUUGAUAGUCGUGCUGUCGCACGCAUCCCACCUCUCCUUUGGUGGUGGUGGAGCCUCGGCCUAGCUGCUGGGGCAGCAGGCUGGGGAGGCACAUUCGUACUUUUUCUUACCCUCCUUGGGAGAGUAUC